rnacentral:rRNA from 1 species
UACGUAGGUGGCGAGCGUUACUCGGAAUUACUAGGCGUAAAGCGCGUGUAGGCGGGAACUUAAGUCAGUCGUGAAAGCUCAGGGCUCAACCCUGAAAUGCCGGCUGAUACUGGGUUUCUUGAGUGCGGUAGAGGAGAUUGGAAUUCCAGGUGUAGCGGUGAAAUGCGUAGAUAUCUGGAAGAACGCCAAAGGCGAAGGCAGAUCUCUGGGCCGUUACUGACGCUGAGACGCGAAAGCUAGGGGAGCAAACAGG